GCAGGGAAUAUUGGUAAUCUGCGAAAGCGGGAACCAGCGACGCCGCGUGUGCGAUGAAGGCCUUCGGGUCGUAAAGCACUUUUAGAGGAGAUGAGACAAGACAGUAUCCUCGGAAUAAGUCUCGGCUAACUACGUGCCAGCAGCCGCGGUAAAACGUAGGAGGCAAGCGUUAUCCGGAUUUACUGGGCGUAAAGCGCGUGUAGGCGGUUUGGUAAGUUGGAUGUGAAAGCUCCUGGCUCAACUGGGAGAGGUCGUUCAAUACUGCUAAACUUGAGGAUGGUAGAGGGAGGUGGAAUUCCGGGUGUAGUGGUGAAAUGCGUAGAUAUCCGGAGGAACACCAGUGGCGAAAGCGGCCUCCUGGACCAUUUCUGACGCUCAGACGCGAAAGCUAGGGUAGCAAACGGGAUUAGAUACCCUAGUAGUCC
rnacentral:rRNA from 1 species